CACCAGACUCCUACGGGAGGCAGCAGUGAGGCCUCUUGGUCAAUGGGCGGCAGCCUGACCCCGCCAAGUCGCGUGCGGGAAUAAGGCCCUCCGGGUCGUACCCCUCUUUUGCCGGGGCGCCAGGGCGGGGCCGUGUCCCGGCCCGGAGAGUACCCGGAGAAAAAGCAUCGGCUCACUCCGUGCCAGCAGCCGCGGUAAUACGGAGGAUGCGAGCGUUAUCCGGAUUUAUUGGGUUUAAAGGGUGCGCAGGCGGACCGGCAAGCCGGCGGUCAAAUCGCGGGGCUCAACCCCGCCCAGCCGUAGGAACUGCCGGGCUAGAGUGGGCGAGAAGUGCGCGGAAUGCGUGGUGUAGCGGUGAAAUGCAUAGAUAUCACGCAGAACUCCGAUUGCGAAGGCAGCGCACCGGCGCCCUACUGACGCUCAGGCACGAAAGCGUGGGUAUCGAACAGGAUUAGAUACCCUGGUA
rnacentral:rRNA from 1 species